UAGUCCACGCCGUAAACGAUGGGUACUUGGUGUUGGAGGUAUUGACCCCUUCAGUGCCGAAGCAAACGCGAUAAGUACCCCGCCUGGGGAGUACGGCCGCAAGGUUAAAACUCAAAGAAAUUGACGGGGGCCCGCACAAGCGGUGGAGCAUGUGGUUUAAUUCGAUGCAACGCGAAAACCUUACCUGGGCUCGAAAUGUAGAGGAAGUAAGCAGAAAUGUUUACGCCUUCGGGUCUCUAUAU
rnacentral:rRNA from 1 species